AUGGCGCCAGCGGCUCCGUCGCCCCCCUUCCGCCGCCCGGGCCAUAGCCAAAUCGACCUGCCGCCGCGGGACCCUCUGCUCGCGGGAUGCGCCGGCGGCGUUCGGCGGGCGGGAUCCUCCUCCGCAAUCCCCAGCCAGUCCGCUCGAGUCGACCGCCGCCGAGGACCUGUCUCUCCACCGGCGUCUGAGGCUACGCCGGCGGCAUCGCCGGAGCUUCCGGAGGACAUCCUGAUGAUAGUCCUCGCCACACUCGAGAUCCCCGACCUCAUGCGCGCCGGCUGCGUCUGCGCCUCGUGGCGCUCUGCGUACACCGCACUGCGCAGCCUCGACAAGCACAAGCAGGCCCAGACGCCGUGCCUGCUCUACACCUCUGAAUCUGCUGGUGAGCAUGUUGCGUGCCUCUACAGCCUCGUGGAGAAGAGGGUCUACAGGCUGACCCUCCCGGAGCCGCCUCUCCGCCACCGGUUCAUCAUCGGGUCCUCGUUGGGCUUCCUGGUCACCGUCGACGAUAGAUCAGAAAUGCACCUCGUCAAUCCUAUUACUGGCCAGCAGAUUGCUCUCCCUUCAGUGACCACCAUUGAGUACAUGAAGCCCAUCUUUGAUGACACGGGUUCGGUCCACGAGUAUGAAUACCCAAGUCACUCUGCAAGACGGGCUUUCUUCACGCCGUCGAUCAUGCCUCGUUGUGAGCUGCGGGAAUGCUUCCAGUUCAAGGCGUUUGUGUUCCAUGACACAUCGGCAGGAAGCUACAUCGCGGUGCUCAUCCACAGGCCAUACACUCACCUAUCCUUUGCAAGGGUUGGGGAUGACAAGUGGACCUUGCUGGAACCACACUGUGACUACCAGGACUGCACCUACAAGGAUGGGUUGCUGUAUGCAGCGAGUACGACGGGAGAAAUUCAUGCCUUCGAUCUUAGUGGUCCUGAUGUUACAAUGAAGAUUAUCAAGGGGGGAGACGAGGGCUUUGAUCCCGAUGCUGUACACAUUGUUCAGGCUCCAUGGGGUGGUCUGCUGCUUGUUUCAAGAUUAAAGGAGUUUGAUGAUCCUGAUGAAGACGUCGACCCUAAAAUACCAGUUCCGAAUACCAGGGAAAUUAAAUUACACAAAGUUGAUGAUGGUGCUGAGAGGCUUGUGGAAGUUGAUUGCUUGCCUGAGCAUGUGCUGUUUCUUGGGCUUAAUGAUUCACUUUGUCUCAGUGCCAUAGAUUACCCUGCUCUCAAGGGGAAUCAUGCCUACUUUACUGACGAUCAACAGUACAAUCAGGCUCGUAAGAGUAGUCGUCGUGACAUUGGAGUAGUUGGCUUUGGCAAUUAUAAUAGCAAGGAGGACCUUGUGUCUCCUCAGCUUUGGUCCAACUGGCCUUCUCCCGUGUGGAUUACACCCAGUCUUACUCUGAUGAAACUGCCGCCUAAUGACCGUUGGCUCAGUGGACCAUUGUGUGGACUCCCAAAGAUAGAAGAGGGCACCUUGAGGGGUCUCUUUGCCAACCUUGGGAUCCCAAUCAGCAUUGGUCCAACUGGGAUGCUCCAGUGUUUGAAGAAGUAG
rnacentral:rRNA from 1 species